rnacentral:rRNA from 1 species
AUGGAUGAUACAAUGUCUCAGCAGCUACCGAAAGAUGGCAGGUCUACGAAAAUCGUGUACAUGGAGCAUCAAAGAUGGCUCGAGAAGGAUGACCCGUGGAGAAAGCAUGGAGAUCUAUUCAAUGGUGAGGCUGAGCAUCGAGGUUGUCGGUGUCAAAACCGACCUCGGGUAGGGGGGCGAGCUGUGAGAUCGGAUCGAUGGGUAACAAGAGAUAGAAGACACGGUUUUUUUACCCAGGUUCGGGCCCUCUUUGAGGAGGUAAAACCCUACGUAUUGCUCUUGCUCAUAUUAUGGGUGUAUCAAAGUACAAAGUUGAUAUACCUCGAGAUCGUGAGUUGUGGUCUAAACCCUAGGGGUAUGAUGAUAAAUGUAUGA